GACGAGCGCUGGCGGCGUGCUUAACACAUGCGAGUCGAACGGAAAGGCCCUGCUUUUGUGGGGUGCUCGAGUGGCGAACGGGUGAGUAACACGUGAGUAACCUGCCCUUGACUUUGGGAUAACUUCAGGAAACUGGGGCUAAUACCGGAUAGGAGCUCCUGCUGCAUGGUGGGGGUUGGAAAGUUUCUGCGGUUGGGGAUGGACUCGCGUCUUAUCAGCUUGUUGGUGGGGUAGUGGCUUACCAAGGCUUUGACGGGUAGCCGGCCUGAGAGGGUGACCGGCCACAUUGGGACUGAGAUACGGCCCAGACUCCUACGGGAGGCAGCAGUGGGGAAUAUUGCACAAUGGGCGGAAGCCUGAUGCAGCAACGCCGCGUGCGGGAUGACGGCCUUCGGGUUGUAAACCGCUUUCGCCUGUGACGAAGCGUGAGUGACGGUAAUGGGUAAAGAAGCACCGGCUAACUACGUG
rnacentral:rRNA from 1 species